ensembl:miRNA
GUAGGAGCAGGUGGUGGGUUUGGCAUAGAGGUACCUUGGGCCAGGCUCACUCCUCUUUCCCCUACAG